rnacentral:rRNA from 1 species
GUAGUCCAUGCCGUAAACGAUGAGUGCUAGGUGUUGGAGGGUUUCCGCCCUUCAGUGCCGGAGCUAACGCAUUAAGCACUCCGCCUGGGGAGUACGACCGCAAGGUUGAAACUCAAAGGAAUUGACGGGGGCCCGCACAAGCGGUGGAGCAUGUGGUUUAAUUCGAAGCUACGCGAAGAACCUUACCAGGUCUUGACAUCUUGCGCUAACCUUAGAGAUAAGGCGUUCCCUUCGGGGACGCAAUGACAGGUGGUGCAUGGUCGUCGUCAGCUCGUGUCGUGAGAUGUUGGGUUAAGUCCCGCAACGAGCGCAACCCUUGUUACUAGUUGCCAGCAUUAAGUUGGGCACUCUAGUGAGACUGCCGGUGACAAACCGGA